rnacentral:rRNA from 1 species
UACGGAGGGUGCAAGCGUUAUCCGGAUUUACUGGGUUUAAAGGGUGCGUAGGCGGGUAGGUAAGUCAGUGGUGAAAUCUCCGAGCUUAACUCGGAAACUGCCUUUGAUACUAUUUAUCUUGAAUAUUGUGGAGGUAAGCGGAAUAUGUCAUUUAGCGGUGAAAUGCUUAGAUAUGACAUAGAACACCUAUUGCGAAGGCAGGUUACUGGUGCGCAACUGACACUGAGGCACGAAAGCUAGGGGAGCAAACAGG